GACGAACGCUGGCGGCGUGCCUAAUACAUGCAAGUAGGACGCAGUUGCGAACGGGUGAGUAACGCGUCGGUAACUGCCUAUUAGAGGGGGAUAACUAUUGGAAACGAUAGCUAAUACCGCAUACUAGUAGAUGGACCUGCGUUGUAUUAGCUAGUAGGUAGGGUAAUGGCCUACCUAGGGAACGAUACAUAGCCGACCUGGGAGGGUGAACGGCCACACUGGGACUGGGAAACGGCCCAGACUCCGACGGGAGGCAGCAGUAGGGAAUCUUCGGCAAUGGGGGGAACGCUGACCGAGCAACGCCGGGUGGGUGAAGAAGGUUUUCGGGGCGUAAAGCUCUGUUGUUAAGGAAGCGGUACUUAACCAGAAAGGGACGGCUAACUACGUGCCAGCAGCCGCGGUAAUAC
rnacentral:rRNA from 1 species